rnacentral:rRNA from 1 species
GACGAACGCUGGCGGCGUGCUUAACACAUGCAAGUCGAGCGGAAAGGCCACUUCGGUGGUACUCGAGCGGCGAACGGGUGAGUAACACGUGAGUAAUCUGCCCCUGGCUUUGGGAUAGCCACCGGAAACGGUGAUUAAUACCGGAUACGACCACUUCUCGCAUGGGAUGGUGGUGGAAAGUUUUUUCGGCCAGGGAUGUGCUCGCGGCCUAUCAGCUUGAUGGUGAGGUAAUGGCUCACCAUGGCUUCGACGGGUAGCCGGCCUGCGGGGGUGACCGGGCAGACUGGGACUGAGGCACGGCCCAGACUCCUACGGGAGGCAGCAGUGGGGAAUAUUGGACAAUGGGCGGAAGCCUGAUCCAGCAACGCCGCGUGAGGGAUGACGGCCUUCGGGUUGUAAACCUCUUUCAGCAGGGACGAAGCGCAAGUGACGGUACCUGCAGAAGAAGCACCGGCCAACUACGUGCCAGCCGCCGCCGUAA